CCGACUCCUUUAAAAAAGGGUUUGUUUGAUUUAUUUUUGAGACAAGUCUCUCUUACAUAGCUCUGGCUGUCCCGGGAUUCACUAUGUAAAAUAGGUUGUCCUGAAGCACAGAGAGCCAUAUAGCAUAAACCUGGCUUUCCUACACCUGCUCUGACUCCCAAACAAAGACAGGAAGACCUUAUAUUUAUUAGAAGCUUCAGCACUUCAGCUGGGCAGAUGCUCAUCGACUCUCACCCUGUUCUAACCCAUCUGUGGCUGCCUACUACCCCCACAUGCCCCAUUGCUUGCCAACUUCAUCUUGCUCUGGCUGUUCCUGCUCCAUCAGCGUCCUCAUAGUGACUCCUCUGGUGACCUGUUUAUGCUUGGAACGCAUGCUGUCUGCAGUUGAGGCAAAGGCAGUCUCUUGCCCGGUGUCAGCCUGAAGCAAAUUCGGUGUGGAGGGUCCUCAGUGCUCAUCGUCUUUUUUGAAAUGGAAUGGAGGCUGAUGUGUCUCAUUGUCAAAGAGCGAACAAACAAACAAAACACAUUUUUAUCAAUAAAACAUUUUUAAAUGCC
rnacentral:lncRNA from 1 species